rnacentral:lncRNA from 1 species
GAAAUUACGGGUUUGCGAUGGAAGAUAGAAGUGAAACGGAAAAGACUGUUUUACACCUUGAAUUUCUUGAUGCCGUCAAUUUCGUUAUCAAUUGCUGAUUGUUUUUCCUUUUUGUUACCUGCAAAAAGUUCUAAAAAACUUGGUUUAUCAGUUUUUGUUUUUCUGGCCAAUGUUGUGCUAAUUCGCCUUUUCAAUGAUUCUAUGCC